GUACACGUACUUGGAUGUGACUAACUUCAUAGAGGGUGUGCAGUAGUACUGGUUGAUUUCAGGAACAAUGGCAGUCUGGCCCUCUUUGUCUGUCUUUCUUUCUGCUCUUUGCUCUGGAUGCUUCAGAGGCAGAACCUCUUACUGGCACAGGCGAAGGAACCUGUACCCUGGUCAGACACGAAACCUGUGAAAGUGAAUGGUCUGCAUAUAAAGGUAGAUGCUUCCGCUUUUUUAACUAUCAGCAUUCCUGGAUUGAUGCAGAGG